rnacentral:misc_RNA from 1 species
UAAAAUAUCCAAAUUCUCAUAUUGUGUGCCAACACGUCAAACUCGGCCCGGGUUGCCGUCAACUGGGUCAUUUUACCUGGGAGAAAAUCCAAAUUCGGGUGGGUUUCAAUACAUUAGCCUUUUGACUUUUACGCAAAGUCAGACGAGAUCACCAAACUUGGACCCCUUCGCAUACACCGUUCCAAUGCAAGGAAUCAGGAUUGGCAACACGAGAUUGAACAUCCCAGUGUCGGCUUUCCGGCCUGACCCGAGUGGUUCGGGUCAAACCAUGAUCGACUCAGGCUCCGAGUUUACUUACUUGGUGGACGCCGCUUAUAAUAAAGUGAGGGAAGAG